rnacentral:lncRNA from 1 species
UCCCAUGCCACAACAGCAAAAGGCAAAAGGCACUGGGACAUGAGAUCUUAAACUGAACAGUGGAGAGAGAGACAGACCUGCUGUGAUUUGACCAUGAUGUCAUCUUCUGAGUAAACUAUUCCUCAUGUAAUGCAAGAUCUGGGACCUCUGGGAAGGAUGUUCUAUUAGUCCAAACAUAGUUCCCUGAAAUGCAUGCACUCCACUGAAGAACAACCCUGUCUGAGCGUCAGGGAGACAGACAUGGGAAUCAAAGUGGCCACAAGUUUUUGGGCAGCUAUAAAUUACCUGGUCUUGAAUGAAGCAUGUCAUCUCCCAGUGUCUGCUUUCUCAUCAUCAAACAAACAAAAUACCUCAAGACAACGUCUGUUCACCACAGUGCCUGCAUCCUCCCUGCUUAGCCCAUAGCUUGGCUCCGACCCUUGGCGUUUCUGGUGACUAGCACUGGCCAUAGGGCUCACUAUCAGAGAAUAAAUGUGAUGAGAAGUGACA